AUGAAACCGAGCAGGGCGGUACGACUUGUUUCUCCAGCAGGGGAGACUGGAAUGCUGGUUGUUGAUUCUUUGGUGCCAGAUGGACCUCCAGACAAACAUCUGAAACCUGGUGACGUGCUGAUUUGCAUGAAUGGGGAGAUUGUAACGCAAUUUCUCACUAUGGAGUCCUUACUUGAUGAGAGUGUUGGCAGCGAGAUAAAUUUGCAGAUCGAAAGAGAUUUGCUUAAGAUCACGGAAGCUUGGGUUGAUGGAGUGCUUGUAUUCAGUUUUUGUUUUGACCUUGUGAAACUUGCUAUCUAUGGAUGA
rnacentral:rRNA from 1 species